UCCUCCAUUUUGUCGCAGUGAGGGGAAACCCUACUGGCGGGCGGCCGUGUGGCUUCCUUCCUCAUCCUCCUCUCGGGAGUUUUGGUCUUUUGUUGCCCCUUCUUUUUCUUUCCCGCCCCUUAUCUCCCCCUUCCAGUUGUGCUGCUUCCCCUCCCCUUCCUUCCUCAGGGGCAGGGACGCCUCAUGAGGUGAGCGAGUGCCGGGCUAGCGGCGCGCGACACAUUUCCGCCCCCCCCCCCCCCCCAAGAGCGGGAAACCGUUAGCCACGGGGUUCCUCGACCCCCGGUAGCAGGGGCCGAGCCGCGAUCCCGCCGCUGAUUGGCUGAGAUUUGCCGCAGUUCCGCCCCUCCGUCGGGACCCGCCUUCCCGCGCGCGGCGGGGGCAGCUUCUCCCCCCGCCUUAACGGUCGUUCCCCAACGGCUCCUCCCGCCUCACGUUCGGCCCUUCAGGGCGGGAGGGGGGGCACGGAGAGAGGUGAGGGGAGGAAAACUUCCCUCCAAGUGCCUCAUUUCCGUCCUAAAACAGCUUCUGCCUUCUUCCCCCCCCCCCAAGAGAGGUUUUCCCUGUCAAUUUGGGUGAGUUUUAUGCCAGUGGUGGGUGGUGAAAAACCACAAUGUGGUUCCAAGUCCAAACAGAGAAAAUACAAGUAUAAACCCUAAUCCCAGAGGUUUUUUUCAACAUCAUGCAUGAGAAAGCAUAAGUUUAGCAUUUUGGUACAAAUACUCAGCAUGUAAAUAUGAAGAAGUUCUUCCUUAGUUAAAACAUGGUAGCCAGAGAACUCUUUAAAGUGUGUUUUCAGGCAGCUUGUCCUGCAAUGUAGUUCAGGUGUUUGAUUCCCCCAAUUUGGCCUGCUCUCCCAAGGAAACAUGGCACAUGCAGGGUUACCAGCCAAAUUUCCCCUUUUCUCACCUUCCCCACAGUAGCUCUCCCAUAAUUUCAGGUAAAUCUGACAGAGUCCCAGUCCCAAAAGGAUUUGGGUACCUUUUUUUGAAAGCAGGUGCCUGAGUCAAGGGGAGCAAUCGUAUGGGUGCUCCCGCAGCGGGAAGGGGUAAUUAACUCUCUGUUAGACAGCAGGGCAUGUCUUUGAAUGCAGGAUUCUGGAAAUCUGGUUCUGUGAGUCGUGUUUCUCAGGAAAUUCCUGUGCUGUUGCCUCUGCAGGUCCUGUCAGGUGCUGGGGAAGACAUUGCUCCUGCUUUACACGUGUCUAGUAGCAGAUGUCACAACCUUCCUGGUUUAGACCUGCCCAGGACAGACAUCCUUUUCUCUUAGCACCUAUUUUAACCCUAGUGCAGAGGAAUUGUGGGCACCAUGGAACCUCCAGAACAAUAAAGAAGUUAGCGUGAUGAUGUCUGAGAUCCUUAGCUCAAACCAGCACUGCAAUAUGUAGGAGACUAUUACCUCUGAAGUAUCACUGUUUGAGGAUCUACACAAAAGGAAUUUUCAAGUCUGAUCCUACUACAAGUAAUUCAUGCCCUAUUUUGUGCAAGAAGUUAUAAAAACAACGUGAUAUUUAAAAAUACCACAAAACCAGCUAAACUUUUUGCUUUUAAAAAGAAAAAAAUCGUCUGUUUAAUAAAAAUGCAUGUAUACGCACGCACUCAUAGGUAGCAUACUCAUUACAUAUCAGCUCAUAGGUAGCAUACUUCUUAGCUUCAACUCUUUACGAAGUAUCUAUGAAGAUAAGAACAUGAGGACUGAGACAGUUAAAAAGUACCCUGGAUGUAUUUUAAAAUUUAAAUCUUUUAUUACACAUAAGUUACAAUAAUCUAAAAACAUUAAGUUGAAAGAAAUUCUCAUUCUUCAAACUUGAAGGUAUCUUUGUAAAGUUUAGCUUUUUUCCCCACAUCUCCAUUUCAGCCUGUAGCAGAGAAGAAAAGGAAACUUACUGUUUAAUUUCCAGGAAACUAAAUCAUUAGUUUGUUUAUUAAGAAUCAGUAUUCAGCCAGCUAAUGUCGUUCAUCCACGUGACAUCAAGUUACACACUGUUAAAGUCAAAUAUUUGAACUUUCUUACUGUUUAAUGUACUUUAAGUAUUACUGAAAUACAGUUUUGUUUACUGACUUCUACAGUUAAUUUUCACAUGUGUGUAUAUAUAUAUUUUCACCCUUCUCAACAUUCAUCCUUAUGGGCUUAUUAACAAUACAUUUUACAGUAGUUGAAGUUACUUGCGUAAACUGAACAAAAACCCAUUUUAAAAAGUUGUAAGACCACGUUAUUACAAGGGUCCUGGGUCUUAUGGCUCAGUUUUAUUUUUUUAACAGACAGGCUUCUGAUCUCCUUUACAGCUCUGUAACUUUUAUCUGGCUUUCUGACUCAGGUGUUGUCACUGGAAAAUAAACACACACCAGUAGUGAGAACAAAAGGGUGACAUUUCCUGUAUAGGUCUAAAAUAGUUGCCACACAGACCUGUGUCAGAAGCUGAAUUUGUGGUGAUCUGUUAGCCAGCGUGUGGUGUAGGUGGACACAUACUGCCCAUGUUCGCUGUUGUAAGAGUCUCUAGGCAGCGUAUUCACAUGGUUAGUAAAAGUGGGCUAUAUAAAGGAACAAUAUUUAGUAUAAAGGAGCGGUGGUUAGUAUUGGCCAGAACACAGAGGUACCUCAAUGCCAAAAUUCAAAGAGAAAAAAAGAAACAUUACUAAUAUUAACAUGAGUAAAGUAAUUAAAGCUUAGUUAAGUCAGGAUAUACCAUCACAUGCACACAUAAUAAUUCUUCAAAUCAAGAAUGAAUUGUUCCUCAGUGGACUGACCAAUUAAAAAAAUUAUAGAUGACGUGCUACCAAUUCCAUCAAAUUUCCUUGAUUGGAAUUUGAUUUUCAUUGGACACCUUAUCGACAUUUUGCUCAUAAAGCCAAGCGUCACAUACCUAAAGGAGACCUUGUAUCCAAGAAGCAGCUAGUUAGUGGUUCUUCUUUUAUGCAAAGCCCACCAACUAACUCAAGAGGAGUCCUGCAAACAAGGAAAUGCUCUGCAGCAUGGUAUCUGAAUAAGAAGAACUUCUGAUAUCUACAAUUUAAAGUUCUUUAUCUGUGUAGCGUGUAGGUUAGUAAAUAUUUUAAAGCGUGUUUUCUAGAUGAGGCAUAUCAAGUGGACUUGCCUAAAUGAGUGAUGAGACCACACAAGAAAUAAUUGUCAGGAAGGAGCUGGUAAUCAGGAAGUCGUUAAACUACACUGCAUUAUCAACUAACUUGCUAUUGUUAAAGGCCCAAUCGUGAUUUUUUCACUUGAGGAGGUAUCUUAUGAAAAGAUAAAUUGGAAUUUUCCUCGCCCCAAAAUCAUUUGCUUUAUCACAGUACACACUAUUAAACAAGAAUCAAACAUGAAGAAGAUGUAUCCAUUCCUCUAAA